AGAACGAACGCUGGCGGCAUGCCUAAUACAUGCAAGUCGAACGAACACUUCGGUGUUAGUGGCGCACGGGUGCGUAACGCGUGGGAAUCUGCCCUUGGGUUCGGAAUAACAGUUGGAAACGACUGCUAAUACCGGAUGAUAUCGAAAGAUCAAAGAUUUAUCGCCCAGGGAUGAGCCCGCGUAGGAUUAGCUAGUUGGUGAGGUAAAGGCUCACCAAGGCGACGAUCCUUAGCUGGUCUGAGAGGAUGAUCAGCCACACUGGGACUGAGACACGGCCCAGACUCCUACGGGAGGCAGCAGUAGGGAAUAUUGGACAAAU
rnacentral:rRNA from 1 species